ensembl:lncRNA
UCUAAAUGUAGCAUAUGUGUGCCAGUGUACGUAAAUCUCAGUUUGCUGAAGCCUUUUAUAGUCUAUUUCUUUACCUGUUGAGCAUAUUAAUAAUAAUAAUAAUAAUGGAUUGCAUUUAUAUAGUGCCUUUCGAGACCCUCAAAGCGCUAUAUAUUAUAUGUUUUUGACAAUAUCGUUGAACCUUAGAGUAAAACUCUUUUUGUGCUGCAAUGCUUUUUCCUCACAUUCAUGUCAAUACUACUAAUUUCAAGAUUCUUUAUUUGUCACGUCCAUGGUUAUACAGGUAUAACAUGCAGUGAAAUGUGACCUGAUACGCUCCGCGACUGUGCAAAGAAAGAAAGAGAGAGACCGACAGAACUUUAUAUACAGUGAAUGAGUGUAUACAAAGAGGACAUUACGUGCAGCAAGUGGUGUGAAGGAACUGCUGCAGGCUGCCUACUGAUAACCCUGUCAAGCAACCUGGCACUCCCAAUUGUCAGCUCUCCCAGGAGGUCUGCUCAUCUGCUAAUGGAAACCAACUCCAGAGGUGUGUCAAAACACCCAUUAUCUUCAUACAGAAUACACUGGCCCCGAACAGAAACCUUUUAAAAUCACAGCUUUAGUGGAUUCAGAUUGCUACAGGAAAAAAAAAAAAAAGAAAAAAAAAAAAGAGAAAUUUUUUUUUUUUUUUUAUGCAACAGAAAAUGGAAUGAACAUGCAACAUAUUCUUUCUGUAGUGCUGUGUGAUAAAAUGAAAAAACUACAUACAACUACAUAAAACUACAUAAGAACAGAGUAUAAAUGAAUGUGAAAGUCAAUAUGUAUAUCAUCACUGCAGAAUUAACUAAAUGAAAACUAUAAAACACAUUUAAUUAAUGAAAAAUAUUGAAAUGUCUUUGUCAGGCCAUCACCUUGGCUUUCUCAUCACGACUAAUUGCUGCAUAUCUCGGUUCAUUUCCAUUGAGCCAUGUGAAUUAAAAUACAACCUUGUAAUACAUCAGUUGAUCUACGUAGUUUUCAGGUGUCUUGUGAAUCCUGUACACUUCACCCACUCAUACUUUUGAUCUGCCCACCAUGUUCAGGGAAGUUUAAUUCACCCUAGAAAAUAUCCGUGAAAGUAAAAUUCAUAGCACUAAUAAUGUUACUAAAGUGUGACAAGAAUGAAG